rnacentral:misc_RNA from 1 species
AGAGAAAAGCUGGAUCGAGAACUCACAACCUAUCGAUUGUCAAGAAACGGCACAGACGGCGGGUCUGUAGCUCAGUUGGUUAGAGCAUCGUCUUGAUAAGGCGGGGGUCGUUGGUUCGAUUCCAACCAGACCCACCAAGUCAAGAGACUAGAGACAAGAGACCAGAGAAGAUAUGGCGCGCCAAGGGUGCGCGAAAUUGAUUCUAGUUUCUAGUCUCUGGUCUCUAGUAUCUAGACGGGGGAUUAGCUCAGCUGGGAGAGCACCUGCUUUGCAAGCAGGGGGUCGACGGUUCGAUCCCGUCAUCCUCCACCAAGGUCUGGCGUCAUCAGAGAGCAGAACAAAGCAUUGUGGACAGUGUUGUGUUCUGACCGUUUGGUCCCGAAGUUUCACGCUCUUUAACAAAAUGGAAGAAGGUAAGUAGUGCGGGUUAAUCGCGGACUGCAAAACAGUGCAGAAGGCGUGGAGAGGCCCGUACUACGGUUGUGAUUGCAUCGAUUCGCUGCUAACCACGGCGGAUCGCACAAAUGAGUUGCCUGUAGCUUAGGGUCUCGCAAGAGAGCUUAAGGUUAUAG